AGGGUGAACCUGCGGAAGGAUCAUUAAAUAAUUUGAGUAUGCUUCUCAGCAUAUUUCUAAUUUACUGUGAACUGUUUUACUGUUUAGCGUUUUGAGGGAUUGCCUAAAGAUUAUAGGGAUAGGUCUUUAGGAUGUUAACCUAGCUAAAGUCAGGCUUAGGCCUGGUAUCCUAAUUCAUUAUUUACCAAAAGAAUUCAGAAUUAAUAUUGUAACAUAAGCGUAAAAAACUUAUAAAACAACUUUUAACAACGGAUCUCUUGGUUCUCGCAUCGAUGAAGAACGUAGCAAAGUGCGAUAACUAGUGUGAAUUGCAUAUUCAGUGAAUCAUCGAGUCUUUGAACGCAUCUUGCGCUCAAUGGUAUUCCAUUGAGCACGCCUGUUUCAGUAUCAACAACAACCCACAUCCACAAUUUUGUUGUGAAUGGAAGUGAGAGUAUCGACGUUAAAAUUGAACUCUUUAAAACUAUUAGGCCUGAACUAUUGUUCUAUUAGCCUGAACAUUUUUUUAAUAUAAAGGAAUGCUCUAGUUAAAAGACUAUCUUGGGGGCCUCCCAAAUAAAUCAUUUUUUUAAACUUGAUCUGAAAUCAUGGUGGGAUUAGCCGCUGAACUUAAGCAUAUCAAUAAGCGGAGGA
rnacentral:rRNA from 1 species